rnacentral:lncRNA from 1 species
AGAUAUUCCAAAUUGUAGAAAGCAUGGCAAAAUAUUAGAUCAAGUAAUGCCUUAUGGUAUCUUCAUUUAAAAAUUUACCAACAUAUCAAGUGCACACUAUUAGUAAUCACUUCACAUAAGAGGUAAUGUUCUCUGAGGGACCUUAUCUAAUGUUGCUUAAAGUUGAAAGAUCUUAUUAUUACCCAAUUACAGGCCUAAAUUAACAAAGAAAAGCUAUCAAAAUUUAUUCCCAUGUAGUGAAUGAUUCCUCUACAUGAGAUCUAUACCAUGCAUAUGUAGAAUCCAUCAAGAUUGUUGAAAACCAUAUAAGGUAGUAUCUAUGAUUAGCCACUAAAUUA